UACGGAGGAUCCAAGCGUUAUCCGGAAUCAUUGGGUUUAAAGGGUCCGUAGGCGGUUUUGUAAGUCAGUGGUGAAAUCUGGUCGCUCAACGAUCAAACGGCCAUUGAUACUGCAAGACUUGAAUUACUGGGAAGUAACUAGAAUAUGUAGUGUAGCGGUGAAAUGCUUAGAUAUUACAUGGAAUACCAAUUGCGAAGGCAGGUUACUACCAGUGGAUUGACGCUGAUGGACGAAAGCGUGGGGAGCAAACAGG
rnacentral:rRNA from 1 species